CGGCGAGUGAAGCGGCAGAGCUCAAAUUUGAAAGCUGGCCCCCUCGGGGUCCGCAUUGUAAUUUGCAGAGGAUGCUUCGGGAGCGGCCCCCAUCUAAGUGCCCUGGAACGGGCCGUCAUAGAGGGUGAGAAUCCCGUCUGGGAUGGGGUGUCCGCGCCCGUGUGAAGCUCCUUCGACGAGUCGAGUUGUUUGGGAAUGCAGCUCUAAAUGGGUGGUAAAUUUCAUCUAAAGCUAAAUACUGGCCGGAGACCGAUAGCGCACAAGUAGAGUGAUCGAAAGAUGAAAAGCACUUUGAAAAGAGAGUUAAACAGCACGUGAAAUUGUUGAAAGGGAAGCGCUUGCGACCAGACUCGCUCGCGGGGUUCAGCCGGCAUUCGUGCCGGUGUACUUCCCCGCGAGCGGGCCAGCGUCGGUUUGGGCGGCCGGUCAAAGGCCCUCGGAAUGUAACGCCCCCCGGGGCGUCUUAUAGCCGAGGGUGCCAUGCGGCCAGCCCGGACCGAGGAACGCGCUUCGGCUCGGACGCUGGCAUAAUGGUCGUAAGCGACCCGUCUUGAAACACGGACCAAGGAGUCUAACAUCUACGCGAGUGUUCGGGUGUCAAACCCGUGCGCGCAGUGAAAGCGAACGGAGGUGGGAACCCCUCGGGGUGCACCAUCGACCGAUCCUGAUGUCUUCGGAUGGAUUUGAGUAAGAGCGUAGCUGUUGGGACCCGAAAGAUGGUGAACUAUGCCUGAAUAGGGCGAAGCCAGAGGAAACUCUGGUGGAGGCUCGCAGCGGUUCUGACGUGCAAAUCGAUCGUCAAAUUUGGGUAUAGGGGCGAAAGACUAAUCGAACCAUCUAGUAGCUGGUUCCUGCCGAAGU
rnacentral:rRNA from 1 species